rnacentral:rRNA from 1 species
GACGAACGCUGGCGGCGUGCUUAACACAUGCAAGUCGAACGGAAAGGCCCUGCUUGCAGGGUACUCGAGUGGCGAACGGGUGAGUAACACGUGGGUGAUCUGCCCUGCACUUCGGGAUAAGCCUGGGAAACUGGGUCUAAUACCGGAUAGGAGCCAUUUUUAGUGUGAUGGUUGGAAAGUUUUUUCGGUGUAGGAUGAGCUCGCGGCCUAUCAGCUUGUUGGUGGGGUAAUGGCCUACCAAGGCGGCGACGGGUAGCCGGCCUGAGAGGGUGGACGGCCACAGUGGGACUGAGAUACGGCCCAGACUCCUACGGGAGGCAGCAGUGGGGAAUAUUGCACAAAGGGCGCAAGCCUGAUGCAGCGACGCCGCGUGGGGGAUGACGGCCUUCGGGUUGUAAACUCCUUUCGCUAGGGACGAAGCUUUUUGUGACGGUACCUAGAGAAGAAGCACCGGCUAACUACGUG